CUACGGGAGGCUGCAGUGAGGAAUAUUGCACAAUGGGGGGAACCCUGAUGCAGCAACGCCGCGUGGAGGAUGACGCAUUUCGGUGUGUAAACUCCUUUUAUAUGUCAAGAAAAUGACGGUAGCAUAUGAAUAAGCACCGGCUAACUCCGUGCCAGCAGCCGCGGUAAUACGGAGGGUGCAAGCGUUACUCGGAAUCACUGGGCGUAAAGGACGCGUAGGCGGGUUGGAAAGUCAGGUGUGAAAUCCUACAGCUUAACCGUAGAACUGCACUUGAAACUUCUAAUCUAGAGUAUGGGAGGGGGAGAUGGAAUUAGUGGUGUAGGGGUAAAAUCCGUAGAUAUCACUAGGAAUACCUAAAGCGAAGGCGAUCUCCUGGAACAUUACUGACGCUAAGGCGUGAAAGCGUGGGGAGCAAACAGGAUUAGAUACCCGGGUAGUC
rnacentral:rRNA from 1 species